rnacentral:rRNA from 1 species
UGAGGAAUAUUGGUCAAUGGGCGCAAGCCUGAACCAGCCAUCCCGCGUGCAGGAUGACGGCCCUAUGGGUUGUAAACUGCUUUUGUACAGGAAGAAAAAUCUCUACGAGUAGGGAACUGCCGGUACUGUACGAAUAAGCAUCGGCUAACUCCGUGCC